CAGUCUGUGGUUGAGAUAGGAAAGAGGGCGAGUGAAGUUGGUUUCGUUCCUUUAUACCUAGCUAUCUGACCGACCUACUAAGUCAUAUCUUAUCAAUCGAAACUAAUUUUAUUGUAAUAACCACUAUCAGCGUUGAAAACCGGGGAUUAAAAUGUGUAACAGUAGUUCAACGUUAGCUAGCUAGCUAAUAGUAGCGAGCGAGCAUGUGGAGUCACUACCAGAGCACCUCACGGCAGAGACCCGGGGUGGCAGGGGGGUGAGGGUAUGCCAGGACCUGGCUUCGCUACCCGCUGAACUCAUCACCCAGAUAGGUGACAAAGUAAAGUCAUCAUGGUAGGACGGGGAAGGAGCAACGUUCUAUUACCAUGUUCAGAGGACCAUGUCAACACCCUGCAGGGCAGGGGCACGGUACCAGUCUGUGAUCAAAAUGGAAACGCAGCAUCAAGGAGCAGUGUAACAGUUAAUGGGGGUCAUCCUCACUCUGCUCACAACAAGAUGGCACAAGCAGAGACCAAGAACAUUAUCUAUUUUUUCCUGUGUGAGCAGAACUGUGAUGGUGGUCAUGUAUCUUCUGACUUCAACACUGCUGGCCUCCCAGAGCCACCAGAACUAUGCAGGACCCAAGUUCAGUGAGCCGCCCGCUCCUAGUG